rnacentral:rRNA from 1 species
UACGUAGGGGGCAAGCGUUGUCCGGAAUCAUUGGGCGUAAAGCGCGUGUAGGCGGCCCGAUAAGUCCGCUGUGAAAGUCCAGGGCUCAACCCUGGGAUGCCGGUGGAUACUGUCGGGCUCGAGUCCGGAAGAGGCGAGUGGAAUUCCUGGUGUAGCGGUGAAAUGCGCAGAUAUCAGGAGGAACACCAAUGGCGAAGGCAGCUCGCUGGGACGUGACUGACGCUGAGGAGCGAAAGCGCGGGUAGCGAACAGG